UAAUGAAAUUUUCUGUGAUCACAGUAGUAAUUUUGCAUGGGUAAAUUCUAAGUUUUGAAGGAUUUGUGAGAAGUGUUUGAGGAAACUGACACAGUGUUUAUUUCAGUUCCAUGAAAUAUUUCUUACAAAUCCUUCAAAACGUAGAAUUUACCCAUGCAAAAUUACUACUGUUAUCACAGAAACUUUGAUUG